GCCCACACUGGAACUGAGACACCGUCCAGACUCCUACGGGAGGCAGCAGUGGGGAAUAUUGCACAAUGGGCGCAAGCCUGAUGCAGCGACGCCGCGUGGGGGAUGAAGGCCUUNGGGUUGCAAACCCCUUUCAGCAGGGAAGAAGCGAAAGUGACGGUACCUGCAGAAGAAGCGCCGGCUAACUACGUGCCAGCAGCCGCGGUAAUACGUAGGGCGCAAGCGUUGUCCGGAAUUAUUGGGCGUAAAGAGCUCGUAGGCGGUCUGUCGCGUCUGCUGUGAAAACCCGAGGCUCAACCUCGGGCCUGCAGUGGGUACGGGCAGACUAGAGUGUGGUAGGGGAGACUGGAAUUCCUGGUGUAGCGGUGGAAUGCGCAGAUAUCAGGAGGAACACCAAUGGCGAAGGCAGGUCUCUGGGCCACUACUGACGCUGAGGAGCGAAAGCAUGGGGAGCGAACAGGAUUAGAUACCCUGGUAGUCCAUGCCGUAAACGGUGGGCACUAGAUGUGGGGCUCUUUCCAUGAGUUCCGCGUCGCAGCUAACGCAUUAAGUGCCCCGCCUGGGGAGUACGGCCGCAAGGCUAAAACUCAAAGGAAUUGACGGGGGCCCGCACAAGCGGCGGAGCAUGCGGAUUAAUUCGAUGCAACGCGAAGAACCUUACCAAGGCUUGACAUAUACCCUUUAUCCCUAGAGAUAGGGAGUCCUUCGGGGGGGUAUACAGGUGGUGCAUGGUUGUCGUCAGCUCGUGUCGUGAGAUGUUGGGUUAAGUCCCGCAACGAGCGCAACCCUCGUCCUAUGUUGCCAGCACGUAAUGGUGGGGACUCAUAGGAGACUGCCGGGGUCAACUCGGAGGAAGGUGGGGAUGACGUCAAAUCAUCAUGCCCCUUAUGUCUUGGGCUUCACGCAUGCUACAAUGGCCGGUACAAAGGGCUGCAAUACCGCAAGGUGGAGCGAAUCCCAAAAAGCCGGUCUCAGUUCGGAUUGAGGUCUGCAACUCGACCUCAUGAAGUGGAGUCGCUAG
rnacentral:rRNA from 1 species